AGCAAGAGGAGAAGGAGGAGGCGGAGAAGUGAUGCUGGCGCCAGGGAUCCGGGCAGCGGCGGCGGCAACAGCAUCACCGCCGGGAGUGCAGCUGCAACAGCCCCGUUGCCAUCCAGCCGGGCGGCCGGCCGAAGACAACAAAACCAACUGAAAAACUUCAAGAAUUGAUCAGCUUCAGAGUAGAGGGAUUGAGUGAAAACAUGGCAGCUAUACUUUGAGAGAAGAGCAGAAAUUCUCAUAUGAAGGAAUACCUGAUGACAGUUUGACUACCAAAGGAUUACUGGACUGGUAGAUCAAGGGAGUCCUGGUAAAUUAAAAAGUCCGUGGAUUUCAUCAAGGUAUGUGAAAAAUUAUGGCAUGAUAUCCCUGUAGAUGACAUGGAGAAAUUUGAGUUGGAUGAGAACACAAUUAGAAGGAUUCUUAACUGAUUGAAUUACUGUACUCAAUGUGUGCCUAUUAAUAGAUUGAUAUCAACUAGAAGAUAGGUCUCUUGGGAUGUGGUACAGAGUUUAGUCUUUAGCCUUACCCUGUUCAUCAAAUCAGUGGAAUACAUAAAAGUCAUGCUUAUCUGAAUUACAGGUAACACAAAGCUGAAAGGGAUAGUUAAUAUGAUAAAUGACAGAAUCAAGGUUCACAGUGAUUUUAACAGGGUAGACAAAUGAGUGGAAACCAACAAGAUGACAUUUAAUAGGGAUUAAUUUAAGUUCCUGCAUGUAGACUCAGGGAAAAAGUCACUUCAGGAUGGCAGAGAUGUGGCUUAACAGAAGUUUUGUGAAAAAGCACUGGAGAUCUGAGGUGACCACAAGUUGACGGUGAGUCAAUAUAUGGCACAGCUGCUUAAAAAAAGACAAAAUUAAUGAUGUUAGAUGGCAUUUACAUUACCAUAUAGAUUUAGUACUCUACUCUGCCGCAAUCAGACUUCAUUUAAAACUCUGGAUUUCAGUCCCAAUUACUGCAUUUUAAAGGAGACUGAAAACAUGAAGAACAUAUGGAAGAGGACAAUAUGGAUAGUAAAGAUUUGGGAAACCAUGGAAUGUGAAGAAUGAUUAAAUAAACUAGGAAGAUCUAUCAUAGAGACACUGCUCCCUCCCCAAAUUUCCCAUACAGUCCUGAAGUUGUCUCUAAAUUGCUACCUUGCUGUCUUAUUAUGUCUGUUUUUCUUGAUCCCCCAAACUUAUCUGGGGUCAGACUCUGCCCUAUGUGUUUUAUUGAGUUAAUCAGAUUUGUUUCCUAAGCAGCUAGGUGGCCCAGUGUAAAGAGUACUGGCUCUGGAGUCAUGAAGAUCUGAGUUCAAAUUUAGCCUUGGACCUUGAUGUUGUGUGAUUUCGAAUAAGUCAUUUAAACCUCUUUGCCUCAAGUU